AGACUUUGAUCCUGGCUCAGAACGAACGCUGGCGGCAGGCCUAACACAUGCAAGUCGAACGCGUGCCUUCGGGCACGAGUGGCGGACGGGUGAGUAACGCGUGGGAAUUUGCCUUGGGGUACGGAAUAACCGCGGGAAACUGCGGCUAAUACCGUAUACGUCCUUCGGGAGAAAGAUUUAUCGCCCCAAGAUGAGCCCGCGUCCGAUUAGGUAGUUGGUGAGGUAACGGCUCACCAAGCCUUCGAUCGGUAGCUGGUCUGAGAGGAUGAUCAGCCACACUGGGACUGAGACACGGCCCAGACUCCUACGGGAGGCAGCAGUGGAGAAUAUUGGACAAUGGGGGAAACCCUGAUCCAGCCAUGCCGCGUGAGUGAAGAAGGCCUUAGGGUUGUAAAGCUCUUUCGGUGGUGACGAUGAUGACGGUAGCCACAGAAGAAGCCCCGGCUAACUCCGUGCCAGCAGCCGCGGUAAUACGGAGGGGGCAAGUGUUGUUCGGAAUUACUGGGCCGUAAAGGGCGCGUAGGCGGAUGAUCAAGUCAGAGGUGAAAGCCCUGGGCUCAA
rnacentral:rRNA from 1 species